AUGGCGAGGAGGCAAACAGCGGCGACGCUUGGACUUGGGCGAGGCUUCGGCUCGGCGGCGCAGGAACGGCGAGGAGGGACUUGGCAUCGGGGCGGCGCGCUGCAAGGUCGGGGACGCGAGCGUCCAUGGCGGCGGAGUGCACUGUUUGAGACAGAGCGAGAAAUCAAUAUGUGUGAGAGAGAAAAAAGAGGAAGAAAGAGAGCACGGGAAGAACAGAACAGAGAAGAAGGGUGGCACCCAUCUGCUGGCUCCGGCAAGCUGUGGCUGGUGGUUGCCGGCGGCGGCGUGCAAAACCACAGGAGGAGCUCCUCUCGUGGGGCUCGGGUGCGGGGAAUCGUGGGAGGAGGCUGCGAGGACGGGCGCGCUCGGGCGCUCGCUCGAUCUCCUCGUGCUCGGCGGUGGGUGGGAGAGGACUGGAUCGGGAGGGGGCGGCGGCGGUGGGGAGAUUGGGAGCAGGGAGGAGGGGUGCGAUAG
rnacentral:rRNA from 1 species